AUUAACACAACUAUUGUUUUCCCCAGAACACAAGAGAUGCACAGGACAAAUGUGAUCCCAAAGGCAGUGUGGCGCAACAUACAGGACCACUCAGAGGGCUGGCCAAUGAAAAACACAAGAGAGGCACAGGACAAAUGUGAUCCCAAAGGCAGUGUGGCGCAACAUACAGGACCACUCAGAGGGCUGGCCAAUGAAAAACACAAGAGAUGCACAGGACAAAUAUGAUCCCAAAGGCAGUGUGGCGCAAC